CCUGCUGCUGAUUAUUUACUGCUCCUCUCUCCUAUUUCAGGCCUGCGGCGCGUCACUUUUCCUGUGCGGGGAAAGUUGUCCAAUUGAAGAGCGGCUAAGGAAACUAUAGCCAUUCGCCGGCCGGCUGAAGCGAGAGUUCAACCCGGCCCAGCAGCGGAAUGCUGGGAAACAAGGAGGGAGUGAAACUGGCCUCGUCUUCCCCAGCGGGCUACGUGGGCCAAUACACGGGCGACCGUCUCGCAAAUUCCCCGCCGUUUUUCAAUCGGGUGCAAUUUCUCAUGCUUUUUGAGGGUACUGCGUCACGUUCUCCGACACGAAAACGAUGUUCCCCUCCAUGUUCACCACGAAGAAGAACCCGUCCAAGGCCUGCGUGGGGGACCGCAGAGACGAGCGAGAGGACGGAAUCAAGGGAGAGCAGAAUAAAAUCAUGCUUUCAUUAGACACUUAUACCUAGGAACACGUUACAGCUGCACCAGUGCAGGACCGUGACGCAGCAGCACCCACCUCAAGCAUCAUCGGUCCGAGGGCAUCUUUGUCAAUCACGCUUUGGCCUGUCGACGAGACGUCAGCCUUCUGCACCUCCUCUUCAUUGG